GGCUCAGAUUGAACGCUGGCGGCAGGCUUAACACAUGCAAGUCGAGCGGAUGAAAGUAGCUUGCUACUGGAUUCAGCGGCGGACGGGUGAGUAAUGCUUAGGAAUCUGCCUAUUAGUGGGGGACAACGUUCCGAAAGGAGCGCUAAUACCGCAUACGUCCUACGGGAGAAAGCAGGGGACCUUCGGGCCUUGCGCUAAUAGAUGAGCCUAAGUCGGAUUAGCUAGUUGGUAGGGUAAAGGCCUACCAAGGCGACGAUCUGUAGCGGGUCUGAGAGGAUGAUCCGCCACACUGGGACUGAGACACGGCCCAGACUCCUACGGGAGGCAGCAGUGGGGAAUAUUGGACAAUGGGGGGAACCCUGAUCCAGCCAUGCCGCGUGUGUGAAGAAGGCCUUUUGGUUGUAAAGCACUUUAAGCGAGGAGGAGGCUACCUAGAUUAAUACUUUAGGAUAGUGGACGUUACUCGCAGAAUAAGCACCGGCUAACUCUGUGCCAGCAGCCGCGGUAAUACAGAGGGUGCGAGCGUUAAUCGGAUUUACUGGGCGUAAAGCGUGCGUAGGCGGCCAAUUAAGUCAAAUGUGAAAUCCCCGAGCUUAACUUGGGAAUUGCAUUCGAUACUGGUUGGCUAGAGUAUGGGAGAGGAUGGUAGAAUUCCAGGUGUAGCGGUGAAAUGCGUAGAGAUCUGGAGGAAUACCGAUGGCGAAGGCAGCCAUCUGGCCUAAUACUGACGCUGAGGUACGAAAGCAUGGGGAGCAAACAGGAUUAGAUACCCUGGUAGUCCAUGCCGUAAACGAUGUCUACUAGCCGUUGGGGCCCUUGAGGCUUUAGUGGCGCAGCUAACGCGAUAAGUAGACCGCC
rnacentral:rRNA from 1 species